AGUGAGCAAGUUUCCCUUCCUCACCAGAGCAUUAAUCCCCUUGCGGCGGCAGCUGGGCGUGCGAUGGUUCGCCAUGGAUGGGCUCGAGUUCUUCUUCGAGGAAACCGAAGCAUGAUCUUUCCCUAUAUGGUCUUGUGCUAGUGCUAUGAUUUCAUUCCUAGGGUCGUCGCCGGGGAUUUGUUGGGAGGAGAUGUGGCUACUGUCCAGUCCGUGGUUGCUUCAAUCGAUGAAGCUCGCGCGGACUGCGAAGACCUGAUUUCCACUGAUCCCACAUUUGUUGACUGUGAUGGAGAGCAGUGCAGUUCUGGCCAGCGCGUUGAAGAGGCAAUGUGGGGACUGCUUCACACGCCGCGUAGCUAGCGAGGUUGUUGCCGAUUCAAACGAUCUGGCUCAUGAGGAUGUCAGCAAUACACUGAUCAGACAAGAUGGAGAUGCAGAGGGCGUGGUCUCCAACUUAAAAGGCUCCCUGCUGGUCUUGAAUGUAAUUAAAUUCAUAGCUAAUGCCUGCUGGUCUUGAAGGGUAAACCGUUGCAAUCAAACAGGCAUUCCACACUUUUUGGGUGUACUGCCAUGAUGAGGAUCCUCAGGUCAGAUGACAAAGGAUGGUACGUUUGCGAACACAGGGCAGAGCACAACCAUAAACUUUCUGUCAACUGUAUGGAGAAAUUACACUGGAAGUCUCAUCGGCAGAUAGAUAGACACACAGAGGACCUUCUGAAACAGCUGAGGGAAAGCAAUGUAAGCAUAAGCAAGGUUUACAGUGUUGUGGGCAGUUUUUUUGGAUCAGUGAAAGAGGUGACGUUCACCAAAAGGUCUCUGAAGAAUCUAUGUGGGAAGCUUAACCGCGAGCAACCAGAAAAUGAUGCAACUAAGACCAGCUGGACGCCCUAGCACAAUUGGCGACAAAGCACCAUAUGAGCAACCAGCUAAGAGGUCUAGGUUCUGUUCUAUCUACAAAGGUCAAGGUCGGAAGAGUACCAAUGUCCGCAACGAGAAGAUCUUCCAAAGGCGCCGAGGAAGUCGCCUCGAUGCUCCAGAUGCAGCUUACGAGGUCAUAGGAGGAACACAUGCCCCAACCAGACUUUCGAGAUGGAUUUUAGAAUAGCCUGUGUCUAAAAGUUCAGUUUGUUUACUCUACAAAAUCCACAUUUGUCAAGUUUGCACUAUAAUGCUGCUAUGGGUGUGA